rnacentral:rRNA from 1 species
AGAGUUUGAUCCUGGCUCAGAACGAACGUUGGCGGCGUGGAUUAGGCAUGCAAGUCGAACGAGAAAGCUUCCUUCGGGAAGUGAGUAGAGUGGCGAACGGGUGAGUAACGCGUGGGAAACCUGCCUUCGAGUGGGGGAUAACAUCCCUAACGGGGUGCUAACACCGCAUGAAUCGGGCUGUCGCAUGGCGGCCUGGGAAAUGUGGCCUCUCCUUUGGAAGCUGCAGCUCGAAGAUGGUCCCGCGUCCCAUUAGCUUGUUGGUGGGGUAACGGCCUACCAAGGCGACGAUGGGUAGCCGGCCUGAGAGGGUGUCCGGCCACACUGGGACUGAGAUACGGCCCAGACUCCUACGGGAGGCAGCAGUCGAGAAGCUUCGGCAAUGGGCGAAAGCCUGACCGAGCGACGCCGCGUGACUGAUGAAGGCCCUUGUGGUUGUAAAGGUCUGUCAGGAGGGAAUAACGCUCGGUGGUUAAUACCCACCGGGUCUGAAGGUACCUCCAAAGGAAGCUCCGGCUAACUCCGUGCCAGCAGCCGCGGUAAUACGGAGGGAGCGAACGUUGUUCGGAUUUACUGGGUGUAAAGGGUGCGUAGGCGGCUUCGUGUGUCAGGGGUGAAAUCCGACGGCUCAACCGUCGAAUUGCCCCUGAAACUGCGAGACUUGAGUCCGUGAGAGGAAGACGGAAUUCCUGGUGUAACGGUGAAAUGUGCAGAUAUCAGGAAGAACACCGAUGGCGAAGGCAGUCUUCUGGCACGGUACUGACGCUGAGGCACGAAAGCUAGGGUAUCGAACGGGAUUAGAUACCCCGGUAGUCCUAGCCGUAAACGAUGUCCACUGGGUGUUGGAGGUCCUACCCCUUCAGUGCCGGCGCUAACGCAUUAAGUGGACCACCUGGGGAGUACGAUCGCAAGGUUGAAACUCAAAGGAAUUGACGGGGGCCCGCACAAGCGGUGGAGCAUGUGGUUUAAUUCGAAGCAACGCGAAGAACCUUACCGGGGUUUGACAUCCAGAGGUCCGGCGUAGAGAUACGCCUUCUCAUUGAGCUUCUGGACAGGUGCUGCAUGGCUGUCGUCAGCUCGUGUCGUGAAAUGUUGGGUUAAGUCCCGCAACGAGCGCAACCCUUGUCCUUAGUUGCCAGCACGUAAUGGUGGGAACUCUAGGGAGACUGCCGGUGACAAACCGGAGGAAGGUGGGGAUGACGUCAAGUCAUCAUGGCCCUUACGUCCCGGGCUACACACGUGCUACAAUGGCGUGUACAGUGGGCUGCGAACCCGCGAGGGGGAGCCAAUCCCAAAAAGCACGUCUCAGUUCGGAUUGCAGUCUGCAACUCGACUGCAUGAAGUCGGAAUCGCUAGUAAUCGCGGAUCAGCAUGCCGCGGUGAAUCCGUUCCCGGGCCUUGUACACACCGCCCGUCAAGUCAACCGAAUUGGUUGCACCCGAAGUCGUCGAGCUAACCCGUAAGGGGGGCAGGUGCCGAAGGUGUGGCUAGUGAGGGGGACUAAGUCGGAACAAGGUA